rnacentral:rRNA from 1 species
AUUGAACGCUGGCGGCAUGCCUAACACAUGCAAGUCGAGCGGAUGAAGCGAGCUUGCUCCUGGAUUCAUCGGCGGACGGUUGAGUAAUGCCUAUGAAUCUGCCUGGUCGUCGGGGAUAACGUCCGAAUACGGGCGCUAAUCCCGCAUACGUCCUGAUAUCGCCAUUGGGUGAUCUUCGGACCUCUCGCUAUCAUAUUAGCCUAGGUCGGAUGAGCUAGUUGGUGGGGUAAAUGCCUUCCAAGGCGACGAUCCGUAACUGGUCUGAGAGGAUGGUCAGUCACAUGGGAAGAGAGAAAGGGCACAGACUCCUAAGGGAGGAAACAGUGGGGAAUAUUAGACAAUGGGGGAGAGCAUGAUACAGCAAUGCCGCGUGUGUGAAGAAGGUGUUAGGAUUGGAAAGCAAUGUAAGUUGGGAGGAAGGGAAGUAAGUUUAUACGUGGCUGUAAUGACGGUACCAACAGAAUAAGCACCGGCUAACUUCGUG